rnacentral:rRNA from 1 species
GAGAAGCCGUCUUCGGAUGGUGGACAGUGGCGCACGGGUGAGUAACGCGUGGGUAUCUGCCCUGGAGUGGGGGACAACUGCUGGAAACGGCAGCUAAUACCGCAUACGCCCUUAGGGGGAAAGCUUUAUGCGCUCCAGGAUGAGCCCGCGUCGGAUUAGCUUGUUGGUGAGGUAACGGCUCACCAAGGCGACGAUCCGUAGCUGGUCUGAGAGGAUGAUCAGCCACACUGGGACUGAGACACGGCCCAGACUCCUACGGGAGGCAGCAGUGGGGAAUAUUGGACAAUGGGCGCAAGCCUGAUCCAGCAAUGCCGCGUGUGUGAAGAAGGCCUUCGGGUUGUAAAGCACUUUCACUCGCGAAGAUGAUGACGGUAGCGAGAGAAGAAGCCCCGGCUAACUCCGUGCCAGCAGCCGCGGUAAUACGGAGGGGGCUAGCGUUGUUCGGAAUUACUGGGCGUAAAGGGCGUGUAGGCGGCUUUGCCAGUCAGGCGUGAAAGCCCCGGGCUUAACCUGGGAACUGCGCUUGAUACUGCGAGGCUAGAGUUCGGGAGAGGAGAGUGGAAUUCCCAGUGUAGAGGUGAAAUUCGUAGAUAUUGGGAAGAACACCA